UGUGUGUAUAUAAUCAAAUAAUUAGACAUUUAACAAAGUGAUGCUUUUUAAACGUUGUUAAUAAUUUAAAAAUGAAUUGUUAUUUCAUAUUCUCAAUGCUAUAAUGUCCUUCAGGCUUAAAGGUUAGAAAUAAAUUAUGCUAAUGUAAAUACUUUAAAAACAUGGAGUUAUUUAACAUUCGCUCAAUUUUCAAGACGCCUUUGGAAAUUGAAAAUACGUUUUUCUAUUGAAUUAAAUGUGUACUCGUUUCGUCAGUAUACGGUUCUAUCUCACAAAAUUGUUCGAUGAUCAAUUCACGUUCACUAAGCUAAAUAAAAUUUUCUUCCUUAAUAACGUCACUUUUGUUGGCAGAAUACAAUUUGAUUUGAAUGGUGUACCGUAAGAAUAUUUGUUCAAUAUUGAAUAAUACAAGGUGGAAUAUUAUUGCCUGUUGUCUACUCGACUUAUACGCUCUAUAAAAAAUAUGAAUCAAUUAGAUGAUUUGAACACCAAAUUUUGAACACCAAAAACAAUGAAAAUGACCUUAAACCAUCUCGAUGAUAAACUGUAUAUACGAAAACUGAAUUACUACCUACGCUUACAGAUAUUAAUGGUUAAUUUUGACCAAAAAAAAUGUUUUCAUUAUUAUUAUUGUGGUGGAAAGCGGAUAGCGUAAAUACCAUUAAUAUUUGCUUGUAAUGUUACAUAUGUGAGGGCUAAACUAUACACAGUAGGAUGGAUAAAAAGCCGAUCAUCGAAAUUUUAACGACAACCCUUUUAUCUUUAUUAUACAGUGUUCAGGAAGUAAGGAGACAGAAAAAUUGUUACAAAAAAUGAGAAACCAGUUUUCUUAUUUAUUGAUCACUCUAUACAUUAAUAUAUCAAUUUGAGAAAAUUUGAGAUUUUUAAAAAUAUUUUAUUGGUUGCUCAACGUGUUUAUAUUAUUUUGAUCAAAAAUUUUAUUUUUGUGUAAAGUAGCUCAACGAAAAACUCUUAUUUAAAAGAAUAAAAUAAUGAUCAACUAAAUAAUAGUCUUGAAUAUACAGAGUGUUCAAAAAGUAAGGAAAUAGGUAAAUUGUUACAAACAAUGAGAAUAAUGGAAACCCUUUUCCUUACUUUCUGACCACUCCUAUUUCGUGAAGUGUAAUAACAGAAUUGCCCUGUAUUUUAUACACAGUUGGAAUAUGUCAAAUAUAAUAAAGUUUAUAUGCCUAUUUUGUUUGUAUACUAUUAGUCACUAUCAAUUACUCGUUUGAUGUAAUGGACUAUUUCCCUGCAGAACUCCUGACAUUUCCGAGAGUGGUUAGUUACUUGAACUGAUAGCUAUCAUAUCUUCCAUUUAAUAUACUAUGUACGCCUUUUUACUACUCCAGGUAGUUCUAUGUUCACUUAUCUUUAUAAGAUUUGAUAGAAAACUGAAAUAGGACAAACCACUCAUCAAUUUUUUACAAGUUUUGUCCAUUAAAAGUUUUGAAUAAUACGAUUCAGAAACUGUCAAGUCAAAUAUUAUGUUUUAGAAAUUAUACAGGAGUGCAAUGCUUUUCAGAACCAUCUAAAAGCUGUUAUGUUAGUCUUGCCUUUCAAAACAAAACUUAAUUCCAAUAAAUUUUUGAAAUAUAAAACAAUUGUUUUAUUUAUUUUUUGAUAUCUUUAUUAACUCAUUGCAAUGAGUUGGGUUGGAUUACAAAUAGUAUUAAUCUAUUAAAAUGGAUUAAUACUUCAUUGAGAUAUGUAUUUUCUAGAUUAUUUGUUUUAUGUAUUUAGUAAUGGCAACAUAAAAUUAAAAAGAACACUAUA